GUCCCUGUGGUACAGGGGAUAGCGGAUUGGACUUCAAAUUCAAAGGUCGUGGGUUAGAAUCCCACCUGGGAUG